GGUGCACAUGAUGACACUGUUCAGCAAUCAAAGUCUGACAGAAAUGACUGCUACUUCAUUGUGUGACACACC
rnacentral:snoRNA from 1 species